rnacentral:lncRNA from 1 species
CUCUUUCUCUUUUUCCUUUUUUUUUUCUUUUUCCUUUUUCUUUUCUUUUUCUUUUUCCUUUUUCUUUUCUUUUCUUUUCUUCUUCUUCUUCCUUCUUCUUUUCUUUUCUUCCCAUGGCUUAUUUUUGACCGAAACAGAGGAUCUUUGAUCCCCUCCUUGGUUGGCCGGCCGGCGGCGCAGCCGGUGCGGGGAUGGUCGGCGGCCAAAGGAGAGAUGAUCCGACGGCAAGAGGCGGCCAAACCGAUGGUCGGCGGUGACCACCG